rnacentral:snRNA from 1 species
UCACUUUGGCAGCAGAUACACUAAAAUUGGAACAACAUGGCGAAGACUAGCACGGUCCCUGCCCAAGGAUGACAUGCAAAUUCUUGAAGCAUUCUGUAGUUUU